AGAGUUUGAUCAUGGCUCAGAUUGAACGCUGGCGGCAGGCCUAACACAUGCAAGUCGAGCGCGAAAGGCUUUCGGGCUGAGUAGAGCGGCGGACGGGUGAGUAACGCGUAGGAAUCUACCUGGUAGUGGGGGACAACUUGGGGAAACUCAAGCUAAUACCGCAUACGCCCUAUGGGGGAAAGCGGGGGACCUUCGGGCCUCGCGCUAUCAGAUGAGCCUGCGUAGGAUUAGCUUGUUGGUGAGGUAAAGGCUCACCAAGGCGACGAUCCUUAGCUGGUCUGAGAGGAUGAUCAGCCACACUGGGACUGAGACACGGCCCAGACUCCUACGGGAGGCAGCAGUGGGGAAUAUUGCGCAAUGGGGGCAACCCUGACGCAGCCAUGCCGCGUGUGUGAAGAAGGCCUUCGGGUUGUAAAGCACUUUAAGUGGGGAGAAAAGGGUAGCUGUUAAUAGCGGUUACCUGUGAUGUUACCCACAGAAUAAGCACCGGCUAACUCCGUGCAGCAGCCGCGGUAAUACGGAGGGUGCGAGCGUUAAUCGGAAUUACUGGGCGUAAAGCGCGCGUAGGUGGUUUGUUAAGUCAGCUGUGAAAGCCCCGGGCUCAACCUGGGAACUGCAGUUGAUACUGGCCGACUAGAGUACGAGAGAGGGAGGUAGAAUUCCAUGUGUAGCGGUGGAAUGCGUAGAUAUAUGGAGGAAUACCGGUGGCGAAGGCGGCCUCCUGGCUCGAUACUGACGCUGAGGUGCGAAAGCGUGGGGAUCAAACAGGAUUAGAUACCCUGGUAGUCCACGCCGUAAACGAUGUCUACUAGCCGUUGGGAGACUUGAUUUCUUAGUGACGCAGCUAACGCAAUAAGUAGACCGCCUGGGGAGUACGGCCGCAAGGUUAAAACUCAAAUGAAUUGACGGGGGCCCGCACAAGCGGUGGAGCAUGUGGUUUAAUUCGAUGCAACGCGAAGAACCUUACCAGGUCUUGACAUCCAGAGAACUUUCCAGAGAUGGAUUGGUGCCUUCGGGAGCUCUGAGACAGGUGCUGCAUGGCUGUCGUCAGCUCGUGUCGUGAGAUGUUGGGUUAAGUCCCGUAACGAGCGCAACCCUUGUCCUUAGUUGCCAGCGAGUAAUGUCGGGAACUCUAAGGAGACUGCCGGUGACAAACCGGAGGAAGGUGGGGACGACGUCAAGUCAUCAUGGCCCUUACGACCUGGGCUACACACGUGCUACAAUGGAACGCACAGAGGGCAGCAAAGGCGCGAGCUGGAGCCAAUCCCACAAAACGUUUCGUAGUCCGGAUCGGAGUCUGCAACUCGACUCCGUGAAGUCGGAAUCGCUAGUAAUCGUGGAUCAGAAUGCCACGGUGAAUACGUUCCCGGGCCUUGUACACACCGCCCGUCACACCAUGGGAGUGGGUUGCUCCAGAAGUGGUUAGCCUAACCUUCGGGGGGGCGAUCACCACGGAGUGAUUCAUGACUGGGGUG
rnacentral:rRNA from 1 species